CCUUGGAACAGGACGUCACAGAGGGUGAGAAUCCCGUACGUGGCCGCCAGCCUUCGCCGUGUAAAGCCCCUUCGACGAGUCGAGUUGUUUGGGAAUGCAGCUCUAAAUGGGAGAUAAAUUUCUUCUAAAGCUAAAUACUGGCCAGAGACCGAUAGCGCACAAGUAGAGUGAUCGAAAGAUGAAAAGCACUUUGGAAAGAGAGUCAAAAAGCACGUGAAAUUGUUGAAAGGGAAGCGCUUGCAGCCAGACGUGCCCGCAGUUGCUCACCCAGGCUCUCGCCUGGGGCACUCUUCUGCGGGCAGGCCAGCAUCAGUUCGGGCGGUUGGAUAAAGAUCACUUUCACGUAACUGGCCUUCGGGCUUGUCCUUAUAGAGGUGAUGCAACACUGCCAGCCCGGACUGAGGACCGCGCAUCAGCUAGGAUGCUGGCGUAAUGGCUGUAAGCGGCCCGUCUUGAAACACGGACCAAGGAGUCUAACAUCUAUGCGAGUGUUUGGGUGUCAAGCCCGGGCGCGCAAUGAAAGUGAACGGAGGUGGGAACCUUUUGAGGUGCACCAUCGACCGAUCCUGAAGUCUUCGGAUGGAUUUGAGUAAGAGCAUAGCUGUUGGGACCCGAAAGAUGGUGAACUAUACUUGGAUAGGGUGAAGCCAGGGGAAACCCUGGUGGAGGCUCGCAGCGGUUCUGACGUGCAAAUCGAUCGUCAAAU
rnacentral:rRNA from 1 species